rnacentral:pre_miRNA from 11 species
UUCAUGUCAGUUGAGCACUGUUCUCUGGUUAGUUUUGCAGGUUUGCAUCCAGCUGUAUAAUGUGUUGCUGUGCAAAUCCAUGCAAAACUGACUGUGGCAGUGAAAUUCAAUGAAAAUUUGA